rnacentral:snoRNA from 1 species
AUCCUUUUUGGUUCAUAAGUGUGUUGAUUGGAUGUUCAUGCUGUGCCUCACUCUAAACCUUGUUACAACACUAGCACAUACCCGUCUGACA